AGCUACGUAGCAUAGUGGUUUGAGCAUGAAACUAUGACUCUGGAGAUCAGGGUUCGAUUCUCCGCUUGGCCA